GUGCUCACUGCUGAAGUAUAUAUUCUAAAAUUGGAGAACAGACAUUAGCGUGACCCCUGCACAAAGAUAACACAUGAAUUCAUAUGUGUUCUGUAUUUUU
ensembl:snRNA U6 U6 spliceosomal RNA